GAGUUUGAUCCUGGCUCAGAUUGAACGCUGGCGGCAGGCCUAACACAUGCAAGUCGAGCGGAAACGAUGGAAGCUUGCUUCCAGGCGUCGAGCGGCGGACGGGUGUGUAAUGCAUAGGAAUCUGCCCGGUAGUGGGGGAUAACCUGGGGAAACUCAGGACUAAUACCGCAUACGUCCUACGGGAGAAAGCAGGGGCUCUUCGGACCUUGCGCUAUCGGAUGAGCCUAUGCCGGAUUAGCUAGUUGGUGAGGUAAUGGCUCACCAAGGCCGCGAUCCGUAGCUGGUCUGAGAGGAUGAUCAGCCACAUCGGGACUGAGACACGGCCCGAACUCCUACGGGAGGCAGCAGUGGGGAAUAUUGGACAAUGGGCGCAAGCCUGAUCCAGCCAUGCCGCGUGUGUGAAGAAGGCCCUCGGGUUGUAAAGCACUUUCAGUGAGGAAGAACGCCUGGCGGUUAAUACCCGCCAGGGAAGACAUCACUCACAGAAGAAGCACCGGCUAACUCCGUGCCAGCAGCCGCGGUAAUACGGAGGGUGCGAGCGUUAAUCGGAAUUACUGGGCGUAAAGCGCGCGUAGGUGGCUUGAUCAGCCGGUUGUGAAAGCCCCGGGCUCAACCUGGGAACGGCAUCCGGAACUGUCAGGCUAGAGUGCAGGAGAGGAAGGUAGAAUUCCCGGUGUAGCGGUGAAAUGCGUAGAGAUCGGGAGGAAUACCAGUGGCGAAGGCGGCCUUCUGGACUGACACUGACACUGAGGUGCGAAAGCGUGGGUAGCAAACAGGAUUAGAUACCCUGGUAGUCCACGCCGUAAACGAUGUCGACUAGCCGUUGGGUCCCUCGCGGACUUUGUGGCGCAGUUAACGCGAUAAGUCGACCGCCUGGGGAGUACGGCCGCAAGGUUAAAACUCAAAUG
rnacentral:rRNA from 1 species